CGACCCGCAGCCGCCGCCAGGGCCCUCUGCUGCCGCGGAGGUGCUAGGACAGCCGCGGACGGCCCGCCUCCCCGUGCCCCGGGCCUCGAGGCCAAUAAAAAGCUCGCCCCUCCAGCUCACCGGGUCCGACGGGUACGGUACAAAGUGCUGUCUCUCGCCACAGCCACCUUUGUGACAAUAAAAGCAAUAAGGCUAAUGUCCAUGGGGCGCUCACGUUUAUGCAUGAACAGAGAAAGCUGAGAUACGGAGACUAGUGAUCCGUCGAGGUAAUAAACGGCACAGGUGGGGUUUGAACUCCAUCAGUUUGAUUGCAGAGGCCUGGAACAACCCUACAGCCUUCUCUCAGAUCUUUUCUGGACCUUUUUCUAUGCGCUUUGCACCUAGGACGUGAGGCUGCCAAGCUUGGUAUUCAAUAAAUAUUGAUGGAUGAAGGAACAAUGGAAGAAAGGAGUGCAUGGGUAAACAAAUGACAAAUAUGUCAAAGCACGGAUGCAGAUUCUUAGAAUGGGCUAAUGCUGUUUUCUGCUGGAUUUUUGGAUGUGUACAAACGAGUUCUCUCACAAUACAGAUCCACAGUGUCUGGGUCAGAGGAGAACUGAUGCUCCGCAUGGCAUUUUACCAUCCUGCCUGCCUGCCUGGGGCCCUGGGCCCACAGGCUUUGGGGAGAGUGUAUGGCCAGGCUGCAGCCUUCCUGGGAUAAAGCUCUGCCUUUUAGUCUCUUAUCCUACUUUUUAGAAGCCCUUUAAGGUCUUUGUUAAAGGAAAUCUAAUGUGAAGAAUUCCAGGAGAACUGGAUAAGCCUGACUAUGGGUGGGCGUGACUGAAUUACUUCCCGGGCUGGCUAAGGAAGGCCUCCCCCGAAGUGCAUCGGAAGCCUGCAGCUUCUCCUUAUGGCCACUGGAGGGCACUUGGACCAUGAAAUACCAGAUCGUCUCGGCGUCCCAGGUCUUUGGAAAUGUGUGAUUCAAUUCAGCAAACGUUUCAAAAUCAUCACUAUAAAGAUAGCGCUUUUGUGUUGAACAUCCAAUAUGGCGCUAAACACCUUAUAUAUAUGUGUGCGUGUAUAUAUGAACUUGCUUAAUAUUAACUACAAUUGUUGUGAGUUACUUAGGCUAUUUAGGAAAAAAAAAUCAAGGCUUAAAGAAGUCAAAGUACUUACCCAAGAUUGCUUAGCUAAAUAAAAUUUGGGAGUAAGGACUUGAACUCAAGCCCUUGGGCACCAACCAUAAGCAAUAGGUGCACACAAAGCUGAAAUGAGGACUCUCUUAUAAGCAGGAAGACGCACACACCACACAAAUAUUAUUGUUCCUCAACAAUUUACACAUUCUGAAAUUGGAAGAUGACUUACAAUUUGUACAUUACAUGGUAAUGUUUCUUUUUUCCCUUGAAAUGAUGUUAUUAAAUAAAUGAAGUGUCUCACAAUUCAUGGUGUCUUAACUUGGAGGAAAUAAAGUCAUAGUAAUACAA
rnacentral:lncRNA from 1 species